rnacentral:rRNA from 1 species
UACGGGGGGGGCAAGCGUUGUUCGGAAUUACUGGGCGUAAAGGGCGCGUAGGCGGCUUUUCAAGUCGGGCGUGAAAUCUCCGGGCUUAACCCGGAAGGGUCGUUCGAUACUGUUGAGCUAGAGUGUGGAAGAGGCAACUAGAAUUCCGUGUGUAGCGGUGAAAUGCGUAGAUAUACGGAGGAAUACCUGAGGCGAAGGCGGGUUGCUGGGCCAACACUGACGCUGAGGCGCGAAGGCCAGGGGAGCAAACGGG